CUACGGGACGCAGCAGUAGGGAAUCUUAGACAAUGGGGGAAACCCUGAUCUAGCCAUGCCGCGUGAGUGAUGAAGGCCUUAGGGUUGUAAAGCUCUUUCGCUGGGGAAGAUAAUGACGGUACCCAGUAAAGAAACCCCGGCUAACUCCGUGCCAGCAGCCGCGGUAAUACGGAGGGGGUUAGCGUUGUUCGGAAUUACUGGGCGUAAAGCGCGCGUAGGCGGGCUAUUAAGUCAGGGGUGAAAUCCCGGGGCUCAACCCCGGAACUGCCUUUGAUACUGGUAGUCUUGAGUUCGAGAGAGGUGAGUGGAAUUCCGAGUAUAGAGGUGAAAUUCGUAGAUAUUCGGAGGAACAUCAGUGGCGAAGGCGACUCACUGGCUCGAUACUGACGCUGAGGUGCGAAAGUGUGGGGAGCAAACAGGAUUAGAUACCCGUGUAGUC
rnacentral:rRNA from 1 species